rnacentral:rRNA from 1 species
UAGGGAAUCUUCCACAAUGGACGAAAGUCUGAUGGAGCAACGCCGCGUGAGUGAUGAAGGGUUUCGGCUCGUAAAACUCUGUUGUUGGAGAAGAACGGGUGUCAGAGUAACUGUUGACAUCGUGACGGUAUCCAACCAGAAAGCCACGGCUAACUACGUGCCAGCAGCCGCGGUAAUACGUAGGUGGCAAGCGUUGUCCGGAUUUAUUGGGCGUAAAGCGAGCGCAGGCGGUUUUUUAGGUCUGAUGUGAAAGCCUUCGGCUUAACCGGAGAAGUGCAUCGGAAACCGGGAGACUUGAGUGCAGAAGAGGACAGUGGAACUCCAUGUGUAGCGGUGAAAAUGCGUAGAUAUAUGGAAGAACACCAGUGGCGAAGGCGGCUGUCUGGUCUGCAACUGACGCUGAGGCUCGAAAGCAUGGGUAGCGAACAGGAUUAGAUACCCUGGUAGUCCAUGCCGUAAACGAUGAGUGCUAAGUGUUGGAGGGUUUCCGCCCUUCAGUGCUGCAGCUAACGCAUUAAGCACUCCGCCUGGGGGAGUACGACCGCAAGGUUGAAAC